AGCUUUCUCACUAAAAGUUGAUUCUACAAACCACAUACCAUGUAGAGUUGAGAGGGUGUUUUGUUGUGUAUAGUUCUGAAGUGAACAUUUUUCUUGCUUUCCUAGUUGCAGACAUGUUAACUGAUAGCAUGGCUUUUAUGAAGUAAUUCUAUUGUCGCCAUUAUCGUUAGGUUCUUAUAUGCAUUAACAAUAAGGAUCAACAGCAUGUUUGUAGUUAAUUAUUCUUUAAUGCUUGUGUUGCAAUGAAAGAA
rnacentral:misc_RNA from 1 species